rnacentral:rRNA from 1 species
GACAGAGGGUGCAAGCGUUAUUCGGAAUUAUUGGGCGUAAAGGGCGCGUAGGCGGCCCGUCAAGUCCCGUGUGAAAGCCCCCGGCUCAACCGGGGAACUGCACGGGAAACUAGCAGGCUUGAGUUCGGGAGAGGGAAGCGGAAUUUCGGGUGUAGCGGUGAAAUGCGCAGAUAUCCGAAGGAACACCGGUGGCGAAGGCGGCUUCCUGGACCGACACUGACGCUGAGGCGCGAAAGCCUAGGGGAGCAAACGGG